AUGUACAUGCCUACAUUAUUAAUGCAUCAGGUCCCAUCAUAACUUCGUAGUUAAGCAUGUGUGGGAUAGAGUAGUACUAGGAUGGGUGACCCCUAAGGAAUUCCUAGUGUUUUACAUU
rnacentral:rRNA from 1 species